GGAUGAACUGAGGGUAGCGGAGAAAUUCCAAUCGAACCUGGAGAUAGCUGGUUCUCUCCGAAAUAGCUUUAGGGCUAGCCUCAAGUGAUGAUUAUUGGAGGUAGAGCACUGUUUGGACGAGGGGCCCCUCUCGGGUUACCGAAUUCAGACAAACUCCGAAUGCCAAUUAAUUUAACUUGGGAGUCAGAACAUGGGUGAUAAGGUCCGUGUUCGAAAGGGAAACAGCCCAGACCACCAGCUAAGGUCCCAAAAUAUAUGUUAAGUGGAAAAGGAUGUGGCGUUGCCCAGACAACUAGGAUGUUGGCUUAGAAGCAGCCAUCAUUUAAAGAGUGCGUAAUAGCUCACUAGUCGAGUGACACUGCGCCGAAAAUGUACCGGGGCUAAACAUAUUACCGAAGCUGUGGAUUGUCCUUUGGACAAUGGUAGGAGAGCGUUCUAAGG
rnacentral:rRNA from 1 species